rnacentral:rRNA from 1 species
UACAGAGGUCCCGAGCGUUGUUCGGAUUCACUGGGCGUAAAGGGUGCGUAGGUGGCGAGGAAAGUCGGAUGUGAAAGCUCGGAGCUCAACUCCGAAAUGGCAUUGGAAACUACCUUGCUCGAGGGUUGGAGGGGGGACUGGAAUUCUUGGUGUAGCAGUGAAAUGCGCAGAUAUCAGGAGGAACACCGAUGGCGAAGGCAGCUCGCUGGGACGGUACUGACGCUGAGGCGCGAAAGCGUGGGGAGCAAACAGG